CAGCCUCACACUAGCCCAUACUUGACCAGUUAUGGCCCUAUAAUAACGUCGUCAGCCGUCGUUAAGAUCAUAGUUUACUACAACCACCCUGGAUCCCUGCCCUGAUCUACAGCUUUCAUUCUGAGGGUUAUUAUUAUAAAUCGAUUUUAAUAACCUACGUCAGUUGCGCAACGUACGGCAGCGCCUGACGUAGGUAAUGUUGGUUCUCUGACCGCGCGUCGAUCUCCGAUCUCCUUCCACCGCAAAGUUACACAGUGGAUACAAACUAAUUCAAAAGUAUAUCCCGAUUAUUUCGCGGUUGUUUUAUUAUUAUUAAUAUUCUUUAUUAAAAGACAAGCCAGCAUACCGUUCCCAAAGCUGUCUCCUGGAUGCUUCUGGUCCUCGCCUUGCCGGUUCGUAAAACACAUCACAGUCGUGGCCAGCCUUCUGGAAGACCACCGUGACGUCCGCCUCGGCCCGGCGGGGGACGACGCGUAGCGCCCGGUCCUCUCCUAUCAUCUGAUCGCCUCGCUCAGUGCGGUCGUCCAUGGGGGCAGAACGAAAACACAACCCGACUCCUGCGGGACAACCAAAACUUUCCCUCCUCUCCCUCCCUCCCCAGUACCCUGACUCGUGUUUACCCUAUGAGUUCUCAGGUUCCCAGCCAAUGGUUCCCACACAGCCCAGUGGCGUGACACCCCACUACAUAGGAUAGGAUAACACUCACAAAUAGGGUAUUAGGAUAUCCUCGUUUGUCCUGCUUGUUAUCUCUUUUCAUUAUAAACUAUUAGAUUAAAUUAUGAUUCCCAGAUGGGACAUUCGGGUGAACCUGCAGAAAGCAUGGCUACAGGACAGCAGUGGAAUUGAAAAAAAAAAUACUAAAACACAUUUUUAUAACAAUAUAACUUAGAAAAUAUUUAUAUCAUUACAAUUUGAGUAACAUAAAUGUAUAUGAAUGAAUGAAUGUAGUCAAUAUCAAAAGUAGAAGUUGUUAUUAUUGACAAUAAUAAUGUCUACUGUAUGAUAGGCAGCCUACAUUAUUAUUAACAACCAGGCCUAUGUUGUUGUACCAAAAGCGCAUGACAAAUAAGUCUAUAAAUCCAGCCAUACAUUGUACACGGAAAUGUUCUGCAACAAGACAUCCAAACAGAUUUACAUUUGUUUAUUUCAGACAUUUUAUAAACAUGAUACGACACAUCAAGUAGGACUAUUAACAAAGAGCUACCAAAAGCUAUUAUAUUUUCUAGUACAUUUUUGCUAAAUCUUGUUGACACAAAGAGGCCUAUGAGUGAGCUAGCACACUAGUUUGUUGCAUGUUAUUCAAGUUGUUCUCUAUCUAAAUGACACGUAUGAAAGUCAAACCACUUGAAAUAUAGUCCCAUCUAUCGUCAUACAAAAGCAGUAUCAUAUAAAUUACUUUACAAGCAUUAUAAAAACGUAAACAAUUAAUUUGGCAGAUGGACUUGGGUGACCAUGUUAUUAACAAAAGGAGUGUGUUGAUGUGUGCGUGUGUGUGUUUCCUCAAGGUUGAAUGAGUUUGACGUGUGAAAAGAUACAACAAACAGCGGUUAUUUUACAGAUAGGCUUACGAGUGUAAAGACAACAAUUGCUUUGUCUGCGGGGGAGAAAGGGGGGUGAAAGAGAGAGAUAGAGGGCUACAGAGGGCGGCUUCUAGCACACGGGCCUCCCUCUGGAGCUUUCAGUGUUAUUGAGGGUUUCUGUAGCAUGAAUUCUUCUAGUUGUGCUGAAGUGCACUGGUGGAAAGUCCUACACCAAGUACAAUCCAGAGAUAUUCAUAAGGUGCUUAAGGAAUUCAAUUUCAUAAGGAUUUAGGGAAAUACUUUUUUAAUCCACUACAUGUCAAAGAAAAUAUUUGUACAAGGGAUUGGCCUGUAUUCAGUUAAAAUAAAAACGGGAUUGGCCUGUAUUGAGUUAAAAUAAAAACCCUUAUACAUAAUAUUAUAGGUGAACCAAAAUAGGAUCCUUGACCGACAGGGCUUACUUUGCAUAAAAAAAUAGAAUGUGACUUCAUACCAAAACAUGGGGGUUACAAUAUUAGUAUUUUUUACUUUUGAUACGCAAGUAUUAAUUGUGUCAAAGGUUCUUAGGGUAGGGUAUUUCUAUGUCCACUACAUUAGGAUAGGAAUACUUGUCCGCCACUGCUAAAUCAUUUCCAUGACAGUUAGCCAAUAUUUCUUUAGGUUGGAAGUCUGUUCAGAAACAGGUCAAGAUGUUUGCCCAGAACCUAUUGACAGAAUAAGCUCCAUGUUGAGUAUAUAUUUGUGUAGGAUUUAAAUAAUUGAUUAAGGUACUGGAUCAAAGGUGCCAUCUACAGUACAGCCUCCAGUCAGGAUGAAAAUACUAAUGUUAAAUUCAAGCUCCUUGUCUGGUCUUAGACAACGAGCAAACACAUUAAUAAAUACAAAUAAUUGCCACUACUUAAUGCAAAUUUACUGCAAGAUUAUUUGACAUUUGUUUCAAAAUCGAAAUGCUGAAUGUUGUGUAUUUCUCCUUAAACUGUGAUUAAACAUUUGGAGACUA